UACGUAGGGUGCAAGCGUUGUCCGGAAUUAUUGGGCGUAAAGAGCUCGUAGGCGGUCCGUCGCGUCGGGCGUGAAAACCCGUGGCUCAACCACGGGCCUGCAUCCGAUACUGGCGGGCUCGAGGCAGGCAGGGGAGAUCGGAAUUCCUGGUGUAGCGGUGAAAUGCGCAGAUAUCAGGAGGAACACCGGUGGCGAAGGCGGAUCUCUGGGCCUGUCCUGACGCUCAGGCGCGAAAGCUAGGGGAGCAAACAGG
rnacentral:rRNA from 1 species